UAAUGCAAAAGAUACUGUCAGAGAAGAACAGAAAUUACACAAUUAGUAUCCUAGAAAGAAUCGCUCAUAAGCAUAAAAGCAAUUCAUUUAAUUAAAGUUAUGAGAAUUGAUAUAAUAAUCCCUAGUCGUCUCAUGAAGAAUUUGGGCUCACAAAAAGCAGAGUGAAGGAAAAAGAUUUAUGUAACUCAAUUCAACUAGUUGGAGAUUCAGGCUUAGGUGAAUUCAGUUGCAUAAAUAACUAGUUGAAUCCAUGUUUUCAAUAUCCAUUAGUGAUUAUCAUCAAAUUCACAACCCAUUGAUACAUUCCAGAAAAAGGUUAAUAAAUAACAUGAAGAUCAACAGAAAGAAAAGCAGACAAAAGAAGAGGGAAUCUACAAAGUAAGGUAUUUGCCCAUACCAAAUCUGCAGCGGCCUGCAAUGUAACGUGAUCACCCCAUUGACCACUCCUAAUUUUAGCCACAUAAAAAAUACAUACAUAUGAGCAUGAAUCUAUUUAAAGAAAGCCAUGGGAUUUUUU